UUAAAAGACCUAGCAAUAGGUAUGCUUAGGGAAGAGCUUGCGUCACAUUAGUUAGUUGGUGGGGUAAUGGCCUACCAAGACGAUGAUGUGUAGCCGGGCUGAGAGGUCGAACGGCCACAUUGGGACUGAGACACGGCCCAAACUCCUACGGGAGGCAGCAGUAAGGAAUUUUCGGCAAUGGAGGAAACUCUGACCGAGCAAUGCCGCGUGAACGAUGAAGUAUUUUGGUACGUAAAGUUCUUUUAUUAGGGAAGAAAAGAUGGUGGAAAAACCAUUAUGACGGUACCUAAUGAAUAAGCCCCGGCUAACUAUGUGCCAGCAGCCGCGGUAAUACAUAGGGGGCAAGCGUUAUCCGGAAUUAUUGGGCGUAAAGGGUGCGUAGGCGGUUAAAUAAGUUUAUGGUCUAAGUGCACCGCUCAACGUUGUGAUGCUACAAAAACUGUUUAGCUAGAGUUGGAUAGAGGCAAGUGGAAUUCCGUGUGUAGUGGUAAAAUGCGUAAAUAUACGGAGGAACACCAGAAGCGAAGGCGGCUUGCUGGGUCUUAACUGACGCUGAGGCACGAAAGCGUGGGGAGCAAACAGGAUUAGAUACCCUGGUAGUCCACGCCCUAAACGAUGAGUACUAAACGUUGGAUAAAACCAGUGUUGAAGUUAACACAUUAAGUACUCCGCCUGAGUAGUACGUACGCAAGUAUGAAACUUAAAGGAAUUGACGGGGCUCCGCACAAGCGGUGGAUCAUGUUGUUUAAUUCGAAGGUACCCGAAAAACCUCACCAGGUCUUGACAUGCUUUUGCAAAGCUGUAGAAAUACAGUGGAGGUUAUCAGAAGCACAGGUGGUGCAUGGUUGUCGUCAGCUCGUGUCGUGAGAUGUUGGGUUAGGUCCCGCAACGAGCGCAACCCUUGUUGUCAAUUGCCAUCAUUAAGUUGGGGACUUUAGCAAGACUGCCAAUGAUAAAUUGGAGGAAGGUGGGGACGACGUCAAAUCAUCAUGCCCCUUAUGACCUGGGCUACAAACGUGAUACAAUGGCUGUUACAAAGGGUAGCUAAAGCGUAAGCUUCUGGCGAAUCUCAAAAAAACAGUCUCAGUUCGGAUUG
rnacentral:rRNA from 1 species